GGUUUGAUUAUGGCUCAGAUUGAACGCUGGCGGGAUGCUUUACACAUGCAAGUCGAACGGCAGCACGGACUUCGGUCUGGUGGCGAGUGGCGAACGGGUGAGUAAUGUAUCGGAACGUGCCUAGUAGUGGGGAUAACUACGCGAAAGCGUAGCUAAUACCGCAUACGCCCUUCGGGGGAAAGCGGGGGACCUUCGGGCCUCGCACUAUUAGAGCGGCCGAUAUCGGAUUAGCUAGUUGGUGGGGUAACGGCUCACCGAGGCGACGAUCCGUAGCUGGUUUUGAGAGGACGACCAGCCACACUGGGACUGAGACACGGCCCAGACUCCUACGGGAGGCAGCAGUGGGGAAUUUUGGACAAUGGGGAAACCCUGAUCCAGCCAUCCCGCGCGUGCGAUGAAGGCCUUCGGGUUGUAAAGCACUUUUGGCAGGAAAGAAACGGCACGGGAUAAUACCCCGUGCAACUGACGGUACCUGCAGAAUAAGCACCGGCUAACUACGUGCCAGCAGCCGCGGUAAUACGUAGGGUGCAAGCGUUAAUCGGAAUUACCGGGCGUAAAGCGCGCAGGCGGUUCGGAAAGAAAGAUGUGAAAUCCCAGAGCUUAACUUUUGGAACUGCAUUUUUAACUACCGAGCUAGAGGUCAGAGGGAGGUGGAAUUCCGCGUAGCAGUGAAAUGCGUAGAUAUGCGGAGGAACACCGAUGGCGAAGGCAGCCUCCUGGGAUAACACUGACGCUCAUGCACGAAAGCGUGGGGAGCAAACAGAUUAGAUACCCUGGUAGUCCACGCCCUAAACGAUGUCAACUAGCUGUUGGGGCCUUCGGGCCUUGCAGCGCAGCUAACGCGUGAAGUUGACCGCCUGGGGAGUACAGUCGCAAGAUUAAAACUCAAAGGAAUUGACGGGGACCCGCACAAGCGGUGGAUGAUGUGGAUUAAUCUGAUGCAACGCGAAAAACCUUACCUACCCUUGACAUGUCUGGAAUCCCGAAGAGAUUUGGGAAUGCUCGCAAGAGAACCGAACACAGGUGCUGCAUGGCUGUCAGUCAGCUCGUGUCGUGAGAUGUUGGGUUAGUCCCGCAACGAGCGCAACCCUUGUCAUUAGUUGCUACGAAAGGGCACUCUAACGAGAUCGCCGGUGACAAACCGGAGGAAGGUGGGGAUGACGUCAAGUCCUCAUGGCCCAUGGGUAGGGCUUCACACGUCAUACAAUGGUCGGGACAGAGGGUCGCCAACCCGCGAGGGGGAGCCGCAAUCCCAGAAACCCGAUCGUAGUCCGGAUCGCAGUCUGCAACUCGACUGCGUGAAGUCGGAAUCGCUAGUAAUCGCGGAUCAGCGUGUCGCGGUGAAUACGUUCCCGGGUCUUGUACACACCGCCCGUCACACCAUGGAGUGGUUACCAGAAGUAGUUAGCCUAACCGUAAGGAGGGCGAUUACCACGGUAGGAUUCAUGACUGGGGUGAAGUCGUAACAAGGUAA
rnacentral:rRNA from 1 species